GACGAACGCUGGCGGCGUGCUUAACACAUGCAAGUCGAACGGAAAGGCCCUGCUUUUGUGGGGUGCUCGAGUGGCGAACGGGUGAGUAACACGUGAGUAACCUGCCCUUGACUUUGGGAUAACUUCAGGAAACUGGGGCUAAUACCGGAUAGGAGCUCCUGCUGCAUGGUGGGGGUUGGAAAGUUUCGGCGGUUGGGGAUGGACUCGCGGCUUAUCAGCUUGUUGGUGGGGUAGUGGCUUACCAAGGCUUUGACGGGUAGCCGGCCUGAGGGGGUGACCGGCCACAUUGGGACUGAGAUACGGCCCAGACUCCUACGGGAGGCAGCAGUGGGGAGUAUUGCACAAUGGGCGGAAGCCUGAUGCAGCAACGCCGCGUGCGGGAUGACGGCCUUCGGGUUGUAAACCGCUUUCGCCUGUGACGAAGCGUGAGUGACGGUAAUGGGUAAAGAAGCACCGGCUAACUACGUG
rnacentral:rRNA from 1 species